GACAGAGGGUGCAAACGUUGCUCGGAAUCACUGGGCGUAAAGGGCGUGUAGGCGGGAAGGAAAGUCAGAUGUGAAAUCCCCAGGCUCAACCUGGGAACUGCAUUUGAAACUCCCUUUCUUGAGUACCGGAGAGGAAAGUGGAAUUCCUGGUGUAGCGGUGAAAUGCGCAGAUAUCAGGAGGAACACCCGUGGCGAAAGCGGCUCUCUGGGACGGUACUGACGCUGAGACGCGAAAGCGUGGGGAGCAAACAGG
rnacentral:rRNA from 1 species